AUGAUUGGUGGCUGUUGCUGACUAGUGUUUCUAGUAUGUGCACGCCACACCUUCAAUCCCACUUACACCUGUGCACCUUCUGUAGUAGAUCUAUGUGGAUACGGAGAUAUGAAAGUUUGCACUCUCGUACUCUGUUGAAGCAGUCUACUACGUUUUUUUACACACACACACAAUAGUCAUUGAAUGUUAUUUUUUAUUCUUAUGAUAAA
rnacentral:misc_RNA from 1 species